GAAUACGUGAUGAAUACACACGAUAGGGACAUCUGAUUCCUGACUGAUUUAUCAAGUUUUAUUAAAAUCUGACUUA